CCCACUUCAUCCUCCCCGCUUUGUCUUUCCAGCGACCUUCAAGCCCACCGGCUUUCAACCAUGAUCCACAAGUCUUCGGUUCUCCAUCCUUGUCUCCCCCAACUUUUCCAAUUUUUCUAAGUCUUUUUUCGUCAUAUUAACCACCAUUAUAGAACAAAAAGCUAAUAAUUUCACCUUGUCUUUGUGUGAUUAAAUCUUGUGUUGGAUCUUUGAAUUAGAUAUGUUGACAAGUUCCAUCAAUGGUAAUCAAUAUGUUAGAUCCUAUUCAUCGUGUUUUAUCUUUCAGAUUCAGACAUGCAAAUCAAAUUCAAGGGGAAGGGGUAAGAAAUGAAAACAUGGAAACCUACUAAACCACAGCGGAGAUAGAUUCUAUGAAUACAUGUUCUUCAUCCUUGAGAGUUCCCUAAAUCUUUUGAGGGUUCUAUAUACUUUAUGGUUACAAUAUACACAUAAUUGUAGAGUUGGAGAAUGUUUCCUCAUGGUUGUCAUUCACACACAUGAGAAUAGAGAGAGAAAAAAAAAGAGAUGGAUAGGUAAACAAAGAUAGAUGUGAGAGAAAGAGAGACGGAUAAAGAGGGGGAAGAGAGUGAAAUAGAUAUAUAACUAUUACUCUGUCUCUCUCUUUUAUAUAUAUAUAUAUAUAUAUAUAUAUAUAUAUAUAUAUAUAUAUAUAUAUAUAUAUAUUGAGAUCACACGAAAGGUUAAGAACAUGAGAACAAAUCUCGACCAUCUAAUUACUUAGAUCUAGGGCUAUAACAUGUAAGGACAAUUUUUGUAAAUAUCAAAACUGAAAAUCUUAAAAUGCAGCAAAGGGGACUGAGGUAAAUUCAAAUGGUUUAAUUUAGGUAAUUGUAAAUAAGAAAAUAACGUAAAUCUAGAGAGGGUGUUUGACUUUGCUUUUAAAAUGACUUUUGAAAUUUUUGGCUUUUCCAAAAAAUCAAAAAGUUUAAAAAGUUGUUUGACAAUUGAAAAAGAUCUUUUAAAAUAGUUUUUUGAGAAGAAGAAAAAUGAGGCUUUUAAGAAGUCACGUAUGUUUGACUUUUGGCAACUUUUGCUUUUUUUCCCUUCCCCCUCAAAAGUUUAAACAAACACAUUUUAAAAUUUUUUUAUAGGAAUCAAAAAGAUCUUUUCUAAAAAUCACUUUUUGAUAUGAAACACCCCUAAUUUCCUAAUAUCCGAAUGUUGGUUGUGCGUGUUUGGGAGCGACCCUUGUUCUUGGCAUAAAAUCCAUCAUCUUUAUCACAACCUGCCUUUAUCUAUCCCAACUUCUACUCCCUUGUUUAUACUUCAGAUUAAGAUUGUCUAAUCCAUUUACAACCUGAUCUUCAUUUUCCUCCCCUGUUAUGCUUCAUUGGAUCUUCAUUUUCCAACAAAAAAGUAGCUGACACCUCGCUUAGGGUUUGGUCGUAAUCGACCAUGGCUACCAGGUCCGCCUCCACACAUAUGUACCUUCGGAUCUCACACUUGUAUAGUUGCAUUUAGCAUCUGACACCCAAUUCUCUCUCUAGACUCUGAUGUACCACCGCCUCUCCGUAAGAACAACUACCAGAGCCUCUUCACUUCAUUAACAUGUCGCCAACAUCGAUCCUAUCCUAUUUGAAUCGAUCAAAAUCUUAUCACGGAUCUUUUUCCAAAGUCAAUUCAUCGUGAAUUCUCAAUCAUCGUCAAUGGAAUUGUAAGUUUAGUGUUCUCUUUGUUAAUCACGGUAACUCCACAAGUUGUUUCACAUGUCGAUGUAUUGUUUGAGAUGAUCGUUCCUAUUUUUCAGUUUCUUCCUUAUCGUGUUUCUCUUUUUGUGUUAGUAGGAUGAAUUCUUAAUGAUUCUCGGUAUUUCUUCAUAUGAUUUCAUAGUUUAUGGGUUAAAGUGGUCUCACUUUCACUGAUCGGGUAUGCUCCAAUGUAUUCCUCUUUUGUUGUUUAAUCCGCAUAAUAGGGCUUAUUAUUAUAUCGUAAUCCUAUACUGGAAGUGCGUAGAUUUGCUAGUUUCUUAGGUUGAUAGGAAAUUUGCUAAGUUUUAGAAUGUUUACUUAUUUAUAAUUCUUUUGUUUGUUCAAUUUUGGGUUCUUGUUGAUCUUUAAACUUGAACUGUUUCCCUCAUUUUGGUUUGACCUGUAGACUAGGCAAGAUUACUAGCUUUGAAAUCUGAUUUGUACACCCAAUUUUGUUAAGUAAAACGAUGUCUUUUUGGUUCAUUUCUUCUUUUUCAUCUUACAAGUCGAUGUUUUUUAUAAUGGCUUUUAGUAUGCAGGUGUGGUGGAAUUACACAUUAUAGUCUCUAUAUCCAUACAUGUAUCCUAAAUUGAUAAAUGAUAUCACUAUAACUCGCAUGUUGGUAAUUGAAUGAAAGACAAAAAUUCAUUAUGCGUAGCAAAUUGAAAGUUGCAAUAUACAAACUGCAAGACUACAAGAAUCAGAGACAACAAAGAAAAAUCAAAAUAUCAGCUUCAUUGGAUAAGCCACAACAAAAUUUCUAUAUUGCAACUAUUUUUGUGUCUUAUUCAUUUAAGAUUAAUGAAAAAUACCUAAAUUAUACAUUGUAAUUUCUUUUUUGUUUUGUGGUAUUCAUUUAUGAUUAUAGGUAUAUUUUAAUUAUCUAUACAAUAUAUUUUAUUCAUUUAUGAUUAUAGUUGUAUUUGAUUUUUAUUUAAA